GGUGAUGUACCUUUACAUACAAAUUUGUAUGUAAAGAUACAAAUUUGUAUGUAAAGGUACAAAUUUGUAUGUAAAGGUACAUCACCG
rnacentral:pre_miRNA from 21 species